rnacentral:rRNA from 1 species
CAGCAGCCGCGGUAACACGUAGGUGGCAAGCGUUGUCCGGAAUUAUUGGGCGUAAAGGGCUCGCAGGCUGUUUCUUAAGUCUGAUGUGAAAGCCCCCGGCUCAACCGGGGAGGGUCAUUGGAAACUGGGAAACUUGAGUGCAGAAGAGGAGAGUGGAAUUCCACGUGUAGCGGUGAAAUGUGUGGAGAUGUGGAGGAACACCAGUGGCGAAGGCGACUCUCUGGUCUGUAACUGACGCUGAGGAGCGAAAGCGUGGGGAGCGAACAGGAUUAGAUACCCCCGUAGUCCCUGUCUCUUAUAC